rnacentral:rRNA from 1 species
GAGUUUGAUCGUGGCUCAGGAUGAACGCUGGCGGCGUGCUUAACACAUGCAAGUCGAACGGGGCCACCAUUUUUGUAAGCGAUUAGCUUGCUAAGAGUGGAAAUGUUGGCGGCUUAGUGGCGGACGGGUGAGUAACGCGUGGGUAACCUGCCAUAUACAGGGGAGUAACACUUAGAAUAGGUGCUAAUACCGCAUAAGCGCACGGAGCUGCAUGGCUCAGUGUGAAAACUCCGGUGGUAUAUGAUGGACCCGCGUCUGAUUAGCUUGUUGGCGGGGUAACGGCCCACCAAGGCGACGAUCAGUAGCCGGCCUGAGAGGGUGGACGGCCACAUUGGGACUGAGACACGGCCCAAACUCCUACGGGAGGCAGCAGUGGGGAAUAUUGGACAAUGGGGGAACCCGUGAUCCAGCGACGCCGCGUGAGUGAAGAGUAUCUCGGUAUGUAAAGCUCUAUCAGCAGGGAAGAAGAAUGACGGUACCUGACC